CGAACGAUGAUGCCAGCUUGCUGGUGGAUUAGUGGCGAACGGGUGAGUAACACGUGAGUAACCUGCCCUUAACUCUGGGAUAAGCCUGGGAAACUGGGUCUAAUACCGGAUAUGACCUUCCAUCGCAUGGUGGUUGGUGGAAAGCUUUUUGUGGUUUUGGAUGGACUCGCGGCCUAUCAGCUUGUUGGUGAGGUAAUGGCUUACCAAGGCGACGACGGGUAGCCGGCCUGAGAGGGUGACCGGCCACACUGGGACUGAGACACGGCCCAGACUCCUACGGGAGGCAGCAGUGGGGAAUAUUGCACAAUGGGCGCAAGCCUGAUGCAGCGACGCCGCGUGAGGGAUGACGGCCUUCGGGUUGUAAACCUCUUUCAGUAGGGAAGAAGCGAAAGUGACGGUACCUGCAGAAGAAGCGCCGGCUAACUACGUGCCAGCAGCCGCGGUAAUACGUAGGGCGCAAGCGUUAUCCGGAAUUAUUGGGCGUAAAGAGCUCGUAGGCGGUUUGUCGCGUCUGCCGUGAAAGUCCGGGGCUCAACUCCGGAUCUGCGGUGGGUACGGGCAGACUAGAGUGAUGUAGGGGAGACUGGAAUUCCUGGUGUAGCGGUGAAAUGCGCAGAUAUCAGGAGGAACACCGAUGGCGAAGGCAGGUCUCUGGGCAUUAACUGACGCUGAGGAGCGAAAGCAUGGGGAGCGAACAGGAUUAGAUACCCUGGUAGUCCAUGCCGUAAACGUUGGGCACUAGGUGUGGGGGACAUUCCACGUUUUCCGCGCCGUAGCUAACGCAUUAAGUGCCCCGCCUGGGGAGUAC
rnacentral:rRNA from 1 species